GGAGGGCGCGGCCGGGGAGGCUGGGCCGCAGCAGGUCCGAGGGGCGCCAGGCCGAGCCUUGGCACCAGUGAGAGGCAGGGACCCCAGGGGCCGUGGCUUCUUGUGCAAGAGGCGGCCGUUUUGUUUUCAUUUUGAGUGUGUCCAAAAAGUAUUCCUGAAGGGUGCACGGGCACCCAUUCUAAGGAAAAAUCACUCCUUCCUGUGCGCGUGUUACUGGACGUAUUGUUGGGAAGGUGGGCAGGAAGGCAGGAAGGCCCGGGGGAGGCGCGUCCGCGGGGCAGCAGGUCCCGGGGCGCUGACCCUCGCCUGCAGAACCCAGCGUUUCUUACUGCUCCUCCCAGAAGCACCCACAGCUGCCCUGGCCCCCAGGUAGCGGUCGGGCGGCAGGUGCAUCCCCGGGACGUCGGGGCACCCAGCCCGGGAGACAGUGCUGCGGCCACACGGUACUGAGCGCAGCGGGCCGAACACCGGGAUCAACACACGUCAGAUCCACGUACGUCAAGAAUACCGAUGGCAAUGCAGCUGCUUUUCUAAGUGAAAAAAUACAGGAGCGCGUGACAAGGACUUUUGUCCUCAUCAGCCUGAUGAUAAACGGCAGGGCGGCGGCCAGACACUGGCGGGUGCUGUUAAGGGGCAAAGGCCACCAGCAGGAGGGAAGGCUUUGGGGCGCCCGGUGCUCUGCAAGGCGAUGCGGCUCUGAAGAUGAAUGGGCAGCUCUGGGGUUACUAACGAUGCUAACUGUCCAUCUACCGGGACUCCCGAACGUUUUCUAGACGUCUGGGUCUGGCCAGCAACAUGAGACAGAGGAAUCACCCUCGUGUGCAGAUGCAGACAGCAAGGCUUACGGACGCAAUAAAAAUCAGGCGGUUAAUGGGUGAUGACGCUGGUAACGUGUUUUACUCUCAACCAUGAAAUCAAGUGUCUCCACACUGUGUUCCCCGGCGCCUGAAGAGGAGAGAAUGCCGUGGCCAAAAGGGAUUGGGAAAUGUCGAAUACCGGAUUCACUUUUGGAGAUUCACCACGCACAUCGGCACGCUCGGAGGUUCGAGGGAGGGGGUACUGCAGGGCGAGAGUAAAGCACACGUUACAAAAAAAAAA